rnacentral:rRNA from 1 species
UACGUAGGGUCCGAGCGUUGUCCGGAUUCAUUGGGCGUAAAGAGCUCGUAGGCGGUUUCGUAAGUCGGAUGUGAAAACUCAGGGCUCAACCCGGAGACGCCAUCCGAUACUGCGAUGACUUGAGUCUGGUAGGGGAUCACGGAAUACCUGGUGUAACGGUGAAAUGCGCAGAUAUCAGGUGGAACACCGGUGGCGAAGGCGGUGAUCUGGGCCAGUACUGACGCUGAGGAGCGAAAGCGUGGGGAGCAAACAGG